UGACGGUAUCUAACCAGCAAGUCACGGCUAACUACGUGCCAGCAGCCGCGGUAAUACGUAGGUGGCAAGCGUUAUCCGGAUUUAUUGGGCGUAAAGGGAACGCAGGCGGUUUUUUAAGUCUGAUGUGAAAGCCUUCGGCUUAACCGGAGAAUAGCAUUGGAAACUGGAAGACUUGAGUGCAGAAGAGGAGAGUGGAACUCCAUGUGUAGCGGUGAAAUGCGUAGAUAUAUGGAAGAACACCAGUGGCGAAAGCGGCUCUCUGGUCUGUAACUGACGCUGAGGUUCGAAAGCGUGGGUAGCAAACAGGAUUAGAUACCCUG
rnacentral:rRNA from 1 species